rnacentral:rRNA from 1 species
AGAGUUUGAUCAUGGCUCAGGACGAACGCUGGCGGCGUGCUUAACACAUGCAAGUCGAGCGGAAAGGCCCUUCGGGGUACUCGAGCGGCGAACGGGUGAGUAACACGUGAGCAACCUGCCCUUAGCUCUGGGAUAGCUCCGGGAAACCGGGAUUAAUACCGGAUAUGACCACUUCGGACAUCUGUUGUGGUGGAAAGUUUUUCGGCUGGGGAUGAGCUCGCGGCCUAUCAGCUUGUUGGUGGGGUAAUGGCCUACCAAGGCGACGACGGGUAGCCGGCCUGAGAGGGCGACCGGCCACACUGGGACUGAGACACGGCCCAGACUCCUACGGGAGGCAGCAGUGGGGAAUAUUGCGCAAUGGGCGGAAGCCUGACGCAGCGACGCCGCGUGGGGGAUGAAGGCCUUCGGGUUGUAAACCUCUUUCAGCAGGGACGAAGCGGAAGUGACGGUACCUGCAGAAGAAGCGCCGGCUAACUACGUGCCAGCAGCCGCGGUAACACGUAGGGCGCAAGCGUUGUCCGGAAUUAUUGGGCGUAAAGAGCUCGUAGGCGGUCUGUUGCGUCCGCUGUGAAAUCUCGGGGCUUAACCCCGGGCCUGCAGUGGAUACGGGCAGACUAGAGGUAGGUA